rnacentral:rRNA from 1 species
GAUGAACGCUGGCGGCGUGCCUAAUACAUGCAAGUCGAGCGAACAGACGAGGCGCUUGCUCCUCUGACGUUAGCGGCGGACGGGUGUGUAACGCGUGGAUAACCCACCUAUCAUUCUGAGAUAACCUCGGGAAACCGGCGCUAAUAGCGGAUAAUAUAUUGCACCGCAUGGUUCAAUAGUGAAAGUCGGCUUUGCUGUCACGUCUAGAUGGUUCCGCGCCGCAUUAGCUAGUUGGUAAGGUAACGGCUUAGCAAGGCGACGAUGCGUAGCCGACCUGAGAGGGUGAUCGGCCACACGGGAACUGGGACACGGUCCAGACUCCUGCGGGAGGCAGCAGUAGGGAAUCUUCCGCAGUGGGCGAGAGCCUGACAGAACAACGCGACGUCUGUGGUGAAGGUGUUCGGAUCGUAAAACUCUGUUAUUGGUGAAGAACAGAUGUGGAAGUAACUAUGCACGGAGUGACGGUACCUAGUCAGAAAGCCACGGCUAACUACGUG